rnacentral:rRNA from 1 species
GAUGAACGCUGGCGGCGUGCUUAACACAUGCAAGUCGAACGAAGCACUCUAUUUGAUUUUCUUCGGAAAUGAAGAUUUUGUGACUGAGUGGCGGACGGGUGAGUAACGCGUGGGUAACCUGCCUCAUACAGGGGGAUAACAGUUGGAAACGACUGCUAAUACCGCAUAAGCGCACAGGAUCGCAUGAUCCGGUGCGAAAAACUCCGGUGGUAUGAGAUGGACCCGCGUCUGAUUAGCCAGUUGGCAGGGUAACGGCCUACCAAAGCGACGAUCAGUAGCCGACCUGAGAGGGUGACCGGCCACAUUGGGACUGAGACACGGCCCAAACUCCUACGGGAGGCAGCAGUGGGGAAUAUUGCACAAUGGGGGAAACCCUGAUGCAGCGACGCCGCGUGAGCGAAGAAGUAUUU